rnacentral:rRNA from 1 species
UGGCGAACGGGUGAGUAACACGUGAGUAACCUGCCCUUGACUUUGGGAUAACUUCAGGAAACUGGGGCUAAUACCGGAUAGGAGCUCCUGCUGCAUGGUGGGGGUUGGAAAGUUUCGGCGGUUGGGGAUGGACUCGCGGCUUAUCAGCUUGUUGGUGGGGUAGUGGCUUACCAAGGCUUUGACGGGUAGCCGUUUGACGGGUAGCCGGCCUGAGAGGGUGACCGGCCACAUUGGGACUGAGAUACGGCCCAG